rnacentral:lncRNA from 1 species
UUCCCUCAGUGAUGGAGUAACAAGUCAUAAUGAGAAAUGAAACCUUUUCUUCCCUGAGUUACCUUUGGUCAUAGGGUUUUUAUCAUAACAGCAAUAGAAACCCUAACUAAGACAAUAUUCUUAAAUUUAAUUCUUAAAUGCAGUUGAACUUGAUAAUAUUUUUCUUAUUAGGAUACUUUAUGUGGUAUUGUUAUAAAUCAUGAAAAGUGCCCAUAAAGAGCCUUAUUUUUAGGUCUUUAUUUGCUAUUCCACAGAAUUACGGCGUGGGUUCGAAUAAUUGUUUCAUCUUCAGAAACCUCACUUUAUUGAUGAUAAAGUCAUCUCUGGACGUUGGUGAAACACUGAAGUAGGCAACUCUAGGGGUCUCGUGACCCUGAAUAUGUGCCGCGGAGAAGAAACUGCUCACAUUCAAGACUGUGGAAAUACAAGAAGCAAAAAUGUGCAACAGAAUGUUCAACAUUGCCCAGGGCUUGCUUCCCCAACAGCACCCCAUUGUCCUGGAAAGUCAGGCUCCUGUAUUUGAUACCAGUGGAAGCUGAGCUGGAGAACAGCUAGGCAGAAGGAGAGCACAGCACUCCCAUCAUGCAUUCUGACUCCCAUUGUCCCUAAGACUCACUUUAAAGAUGAAGAACUGACCAGAUCAGCCAGAUCGAAAGCAGAUGGAAGAGCUAGAUGUGGCCAGCACACGGGAAGGGUAAAACAGAAGCACAGGGACAAAUUCAAGGACAACCUGGUCUAUCUACAUAAUGAGUUCCAGGACUGUACAGGGAGAUCCUGCCUCAAAAACAAAACAACAACCACCAAAAAGAAAGCAAACAUCAUCAUCAUCAACAACAACAAAGCCCAUGCUUAGACUGUCUCCAUGCACCCGCUUUGGAUUCUCAGACUCG